rnacentral:rRNA from 1 species
ACGCUCGACACCUACGGGAGCAGCAGUGGGGAAUAUUGCACAAUGGGGGAAACCCUGAUGCAGCGACGCCGCGUGAAGGAAGAAGUAUCUCGGUAUGUAAACUUCUAUCAGCAGGGAAGAAAAUGACGGUACCUGACUAAGAAGCCCCGGCUAACUACGUGCCGGCAGCCGCGGUAAUCUGAGCGGGCUGGCAAGGC